rnacentral:rRNA from 1 species
AUUGAACGCUGGCGGAAUGCUUUACACAUGCAAGUCGAACGGCAGCACGGGGGCAGCCCUGGUGGCGAGUGGCGAACGGGUGAGUAAUACAUCGGAACGUGCCCGGUCGUGGGGGAUAACGUAGCGAAAGUUACGCUAAUACCGCAUACGAUCUGAGGAUGAAAGCGGAGGACCUUCGGGCCUCGCGCGAUCGGAGCGGCCGAUGUCAGAUUAGGUAGUUGGUGGGGUAAAGGCCUACCAAGCCGACGAUCUGUAGCUGGUCUGAGAGGACGACCAGCCACACUGGGACUGAGACACGGCCCAGACUCCUACGGGAGGCAGCAGUGGGGAAUUUUGGACAAUGGGCGCAAGCCUGAUCCAGCCAUUCCGCGUGCAGGACGAAGGCCUUCGGGUUGUAAACUGCUUUUGUACGGAACGAAAAGGCUCUGGCUAAUACCUGGGGCUCAUGACGGUACCGUAAGAAUAAGCACCGGCUAACUACGUG